AUUGAACGCUGGCGGCAGGCCUAACACAUGCAAGUCGGACGAGUGGCGGACGGGUGAGUAAUGUCUGGGAAACUGCCCGAUGGAGGGGGAUAACUACUGGAAACGGUAGCUAAUACCGCAUACCAUCAGAUGUGCCCAGAUGGGAUUAGCUAGUAGGUGGGGUAAUGGCUCACCUAGGCGACGAUCCCUAGCUGGUCUGAGAGGAUGACCAGCCACACUGGAACUGAGACACGGUCCAGACUCCUACGGGAGGCAGCAGUGGGGAAUAGUGCACAAUGGGCGAAAGCCUGAUGCAGCCAUGCCGCGUGUAUGAAGAAGGCCUUCGGGUUGUAAAGUACUUUCAGCGAGGAGGCGUUACUCGCAGAAGAAGCACCUGCUAACUCCGUGCCAGCAGCCGCGGGAAUUC
rnacentral:rRNA from 1 species